rnacentral:lncRNA from 1 species
CCAGGGAUAUCUGUAGAUCGAUGGCUCCUACUACUGGGGCCUUUGUGUUCGUAAACCCAUAGAUGGCUUCCUUGGCCGGGGUUAACUGAUCCACUUUGUAGCCCAUUUUUUCGAACGCCGCUAGGUAUAAUAUAUCUACCGAGCUGCCGUUGUCUACCAUUACUUUGUUCAGACUUAAGUCAUCCCCUAUAUCCACUUGUAUUACUAGUGGAUCCUCGUGUGGGCUGACCACGUUGUCCAGAUCUUCCUCAGAGAAGCUUAUUUCCUCGCUUGGGUACGAUCUCUUUUUAGAUUUUGGUACCGCUGUUGUCUGCAUCACUUUGCGCGAGUAACUUCUGCUUUCUCCUACCGAUCCUCCACCGA